rnacentral:rRNA from 1 species
CACGUAGGGGACGAGCGUUGUCCGGAUUUAUUGGGCGUAAAGCGCGUGUAGGCGGCCACACAGGUCCGCUGUGAAAACUCGAGGCUCAACCUCGAGCUGUCGGUGGAAACCGUGUGGCUAGAGUCCGGAAGAGGAGACUGGAAUUCCCGGUGUAGCGGUGGAAUGCGCAGAUAUCGGGAGGAACACCCGUGGCGAGGGCGGGUCU